GAGGAAACCUAGGGGAAAGUGAUAUGGUA
rnacentral:piRNA from 1 species